AUAUAGCUUAAUUAAAGCCUCUUGCUUACACCAAGAAAAUACCCAUGAAACCUGGAUUAUUUUGAGCCU
rnacentral:tRNA from 1 species